rnacentral:rRNA from 1 species
UACAGAGGUCUCAAGCGUUUGUUCGGAUUCAUUGGGCGUAAAGGGUGCGUAGGUGGUGAUGCAAGUCUGGUGUGAAAUCUCGGAGCUUAACUCCGAAAUUGCACCGGAUACUGCGUUGCUCGAGGACUGUAGAGGAGAUCGGAAUUCACGGUGUAGCAGUGAAAUGCGUAGAUAUCGUGAGGAAGACCAGUUGCGAAGGCGGAUCUCUGGGCAGUUCCUGACACUGAGGCACGAAGGCCAGGGGAGCAAAACGGG